rnacentral:rRNA from 1 species
ACGACGCUGGCGGACGUGCCUAAUACAUGCAAGUCGAGCGAACAGAAGGGAGCUUGCUCCCGGAUGUUAGCGGCGGACGGGUGAGUAACACGUGGGUAACCUGCCUGUAAGACUGGGAUAACUCCGGGAAACCGGAGCUAAUACCGGAUAGUUCCUUGAACCGCAUGGUUCAAGGAUGAAAGACGGUUUCGGCUGUCACUUACAGAUGGACCCGCGGCGCAUUAGCUAGUUGGUGGGGUAAUGGCUCACCAAGGCGACGAUGCGUAGCCGACCUGAGAGGGUGAUCGGCCACACUGGGACUGAGACACGGCCCAGACUCCUACGGGAGGCAGCAGUAGGGAAUCUUCCGCAAUGGACGAAAGUCUGACGGAGC